AUGCCAUGGUGUGGACAUUCUCUUUGUAGGUCUUUGCAUCUCUCCCAUGCGUCAUAGAGUGAUUCUCCUUCCCUCUACUAAAAGUGUUUAGUUCUAUUAUCAGUUU